rnacentral:misc_RNA from 1 species
CGCGCCGCGCCGUCCGCUAGUUAUUCGGCCGCCGCAGCACGCAACACACCACACAGACAGUGAUACACUGUGUGUGUCCGUAAUUUACGACGAAACUUUCGUCUACUCCACAACUUUACCGAGUUAUGAGAGCUUAGAUCUUCUUUUCGAAUAAAAAUCCAAAAACCAAAAAUGGAUCUGAAACUUGCGGUCGCGGUCUUGUUUUGUGUCGUGUCGGUUCGCGCUACCACCAACGAAAACUUCUUGAAGAUGUUCGAGGGGCAACAAACCCCCGCCGACCCGUGCUACGACGAAGAUCGACCCCGACGUUGUAUUCCGGAUUUCGUGAACGCUGCCUUCGGUGUUCCGGUGAAGGCUUCUUCGACUUGCGGUACUCACGCUCCGGUGCAUUAUUGUGAAGCCUCCGAACCCGGCGCUACACCGCAAUGCCACAUUUGCGACGACAAACAACCAAAAAGCAGAUUUUCAGCUGCACAUCUAACCGAUUUGAACAACCCGAAUAAUCUGACUUGUUGGAGAAGCGAACCUUUACCACCGGUAACCUCCAUUGACGCUCCUCCGGAUAACGUGACUUUAACCCUAAGUCUUGGGAAGAAAUACGAACUAACAUAUGUAAGCUUGCAAUUUUGUCCUAAUACACCUAAACCUGAUUCGAUCGCGAUAUACAAGAGCAUGGACUACGGGAAAACAUGGCAAGCCUUCCAAUUUUACUCUAGUCAAUGUAAAAGAGUUUAUGGUCGGCCUAAUAGGGCUACCAUAACUAAAGCGAACGAACAAGAAGCUAGAUGCACCGACGCUCAUCGAUAUACCGGAGGAGAUUCCCUAGGUUACGGACAAUCAUCUCGAAUCGCUUUUAGCACGUUAGAAGGAAGACCCAGCGCUUUUGAUUUUGACAAUUCUCCCGUUUUACAAGACUGGGUAACAGCCACGGACAUCAGAGUCAUCUUCAACCGUCUUCACAUGCCUGUAGAGGACAUUUCCGAUAACCUGGACCUUUUGGUCGACGAGAAACUCUUCAGCAAGCAUUUCGAUGAAGAAAACCUGACUAGGGAGCCGUCAGUUCAGCUGGUGAACGAAAUGCAAGCUCCGGACAACGACGCUUCUUCGGUUAACCCUAAAACCACCAUGACUGUGGAUAUGGCUUCGAACGGAAUCCACGGAUACCAUCAGGUGACGCACCAAUACGCCGUGGCAGAUUUCGCUGUGGGAGGACGAUGCAAGUGUAACGGUCACGCGAGUCGGUGCGUGACGGGUCGUGACGGACAAUUGGCCUGCGAGUGUAAACACAACACGGCGGGAAAGGACUGCGAGCGGUGUAAACCCUUCCAUUUCGACAGGCCCUGGGGCAGAGCCACUGCCAAAGACGCGAACGAAUGCAUAGCCUGCGAAUGUAACAACCACGCCCGCAGAUGUCGCUUCAACAUGGAACUGUACAAGCUGUCGGCCAGGACGUCCGGGGGCGUGUGCAUGAAAUGCCGCCACUUCACCGCCGGCAGACACUGUCACUACUGUAAGGAAGGUUAUUACAGGGACUCCACCAAGUCCAUCACUCACCGCAAGGCGUGCAAACCAUGCGAUUGUCAUCCAAUUGGAGCUUCAGGAAAGACAUGCACUCAAGCCACCGGUCAGUGUCCGUGCAAAGAUGGCGUCGUUGGCCUCACGUGCAACAGAUGUGCCAAGGGUUAUCAACAGAGCAGAUCACGAGUUGCUCCAUGUAUAAAAAUACCAAUUGUACAAAUGAUGGCAACUGAAGAAGACGACGAUGGUUACAAUGAAGAAGAUCCAGAUGCGACAUCAUCGGGAGGUAAAUCACUGCGGAAAGUGCAAAGCAGCAACAAAAAGAUUAAAUCUGAACAAGUAUUGCAAAAGGGAUUACGCCAUAAUGGCAAGAGUCCUAUCCGAAAUCGAAAACAGCGAAGACGAAUACACCAAAGGAUGGGCCAGGUUCAUGAUCAACGUCGAGACCAUCUACAAAAAGGCACGAGAUUCCAGAAUUAGAAAGGGCACCAUGCAGAUGUUGGUGCCUAUGGCCGACUUGAACUGCAAAUGUCCCAAAAUUAAAUCCAACAGGGCCUAUUUGUUCCUGGGCAGAGAAAAGGACGAUAUUCCCGGUGGCAUAGUGACAGGGAAACUAGGAGUGACUCAGAGGUCGAUCGCUAUCGAGUGGCGCGACGAAUGGGAUCAGAGGAUGCGCAGG